rnacentral:rRNA from 1 species
UACGUAGGGUGCAAGCGUUGUCCGGAAUUAUUGGGCGUAAAGAGCUUGUAGGCGGUUUGUCGCGUCUGCUGUGAAAUUUCGGGGCUCAACCCCGAACUUGCAGUGGGUACGGGCAGACUAGAGUGUGGUAGGGGAGACUGGAAUUCCUGGUGUAGCGGUGAAAUGCGCAGAUAUCUGGAGGAACACCGGUGGCGAAGGCGGCAUCCUGGACCGACACUGACGCUGAGGAGCGAAAGCCAGGGGAGCAAAGCGGG